rnacentral:rRNA from 1 species
AGAAUUGAUCUGGUUCAGGACGAACGCUGGCGGCGUAGCCUAACACAUGCAAGUCGAACGGAGUUGAGGAGCUUGCUCCUUAACUUAGUGGCGGACGGGUGAGUAACGCGUGAGUAACCUGCCUCUGAAGAGGGGAAUAACGUUCUGAAAAGGACGCUAAUACCGCAUAACACAUAUUUGCCGCAUGACAGAUAUGUCAAAGAUUUUAUCGCUCGGAGAUGGACUCGCGUCCGAUUAGUUAGUUGGUGAGGUAACGGCUCACCAAGACCGCGAUCGGUAGCCGGACUGAGAGGUUGAUCGGCCACAUUGGGACUGAGACACGGCCCAGACUCCUACGGGAGGCAGCAGUGGGGGAUAUUGCGCAAUGGGGGCAACCCUGAACCGCAGCAACGCCGCGUGAAGGAUGAAGGUUUUCGGAUUGUAAACUUCUUUUCUCAGGGACGAAGAAUGACGGUACCUGAGGAAUAAGCUCCGGCUAACUACGUGCCAGCCGCUGC